UGGCUUAGUUGGUAAAGAAUCUGCCUUCAAUGCAGGAGACCUGGGUUCGAUCCCUG
rnacentral:tRNA from 1 species